UCGCUCCAGCAGCAAAUGCACUAAAAUUGAAACGAUACAGAGAAGACUACCACAGCCCCUGCCCAAAGAUGACACACAAAUUCCUGAAGCAUUCCAUAUUUUA